UGGGGGAUAUUGCACAAUGGGCGAAAGCCUGAUGCAGCGACGCCGCGUGGGGGAUGAAGGCUUUCGGGUUGUAAACCUCUUUCGCUAUCGAACAAGGCCCGCUUAGGGUGGGUUGAGGGCAGGUGGAGAAGAAGCGCCGGCUAACUACGUGCCAGCAGCCGAGGUAAUACGUAGGGCGCGAGCGUUGUCCGGAAUUAUUGGGCGUAAAGGGCUUGUAGGCGGCUUGUUGCGCCUGCUGUGAAAACGCGGGGCUUAACUUCGCGCGUGCAGUGGGUACUGGCAGGCUUGAGUGUGGUAGGGGUGACUGGAAUUCCAGGUGUAGCGGUGGAAUGCGCAGAUAUCUGGAGGAACACCGAUGGCGAAGGCAGGUCACUGGGCCAUUACUGACGCUGAGGAGCGAAAGCAUGGGUAGCGAACAGG
rnacentral:rRNA from 1 species